AACAAACGCUGGCGGCGUGCCUAACACAUGCAAGUCGUACGAGAAAGGGUCCUUCGGGGCCUGAGUAAAGUGGCGCACGGGUGAGUAACGCGUGGAUAAUCUGCCCUUCAGUUGGGAAUAACUCAUCGGAAGGUGGGCUAAUACCGAAUAAUGCUGUGAGACCUCGGUUGAUCAGCCAAAGAGAGCCUCUGCUUGCAAGCCCUCGCUGGAGGAUGAGUCCGCGUACCAUUAGCUAGUUGGUAGGGUAAUGGCCUACCAAGGCGACGAUGGUUAGGUGGUCUGACAGUAUGAUCAGCCACACUGGCACUGGGACACGGUCCAGACUCCUACGGGGGACAGCAGUGAGGAAUCUUGCGCAAGGGGGGCAACCCUGACGCAGCAACGCCGCGUGAGUGAGGGAGGUCUGCGGAUCGUAAAGCUCUGUCGGAUGGAAAGAACCGCAUAGGGGUAUACAGCCCCUGUGUCUGACGGUACCAUCACAGGGAGCACCGGCUAACACCGUGGCAGCAGCCGCAGUAACCC
rnacentral:rRNA from 1 species